rnacentral:rRNA from 2 species
UACAGAGGGGGCAAGCGUUGUUCGGAAUUACUGGGCGUAAAGGGCGCGUAGGCGGCCUUCUAAGUCGAACGUGAAAUCCCCGGGCUCAACCCGGGAACUGCGUCCGAUACUGGAAGGCUUGAAUCCGGGAGAGGGAUGCGGAAUUCCAGGUGUAGCGGUGAAAUGCGCAGAUAUCAGGAGGAACACCGGUGGCGAAGGCGGGUCUCUGGGCCGAUACUGACGCUGAGGAGCGAAAGCGUGGGGAGCGAACAGG